CCUACGGGAGGCAGCAGUGAGGAAUAUUGGUCAAUGGACGAGAGUCUGAACCAGCCAAGUAGCGUGAAGGAUGACUGCCCUAUGGGUUGUAACCUUCUUUUAUAAAGGAAUAAAACGAGGCACGUGUGCCUUUUUGCAUGUACUUUAUGAAUAAGGAUCGGCUAACUCCGUGCCAGCAGCCGCGGUAAUACGGAGGAUCCGAGCGUUAUCCGGAUUUAUUGGGUUUAAAGGGAGCGUAGGUGGGUUGUUAAGUCAGUUGUGAAAGUUUGCGGCUCAACCGUAAAAUUGCAAUUGAUACUGGCAGUCUUGAGUACAGUUGAGGUAGGCGGAAUUCGUGGUGUAGCGGUGAAAUGCUUAGAGAUCACGAAGAACCCCGAUUGCGAAGGCAGCUUACUAAACUGUGACUGACAUUGAUGCUCGAAAGUGUGGGUAUCAAACAGGAUUAGAUACCCUAGUAGUC
rnacentral:rRNA from 1 species